GAUGAACGCUGGCGGCGUGCCUAAUACAUGCAAGUCGAGCGAACGGACGAGAAGCUUGCUUCUCUGAUGUUAGCGGCGGACGGGUGAGUAACACGUGGAUAACCUACCUAUAAGACUGGGAUAACUUCGGGAAACCGUAGCUAAUACCGGAUAAUAUUUUGAACCGAAGGGUUAAAAAGUGAAAGACGGUUUUGCUGUCACUAAUAGAUGGAUCCGCGCUGCAUUAGCUAGUUGGUAAGGUAACGGCUUACCAAGGCAACGAUGCAUAGCCGACCUGAGAGGGUGAUCGGCCACACUGGAACUGAGACACGGUCCAGACUCCUACGGGAGGCAGCAGUAGGGAAUCUUCCGCAAUGGGCGAAAGCCUGACGGAGCAACGCCGCGUGAGUGAUGAAGGUCUUCGGAUCGUAAAACUCUGUUAUUAGGGAAGAACAUAUGUGUAAGUAACUGUGCACAUCUUGACGGUACCUAAUCAGAAAGCCACGGCUAACUACGUG
rnacentral:rRNA from 1 species